CCUUGUACACACCGCCCGUCACACCAUGGGAGUUGGCUUUACCUGAAGACGGUGCGCUAACCGCAAGGAAACAGCCGGCCACGGUAGGGUCAGCGACUGGGGUG
rnacentral:rRNA from 1 species